rnacentral:rRNA from 1 species
UACAGGGGGUGCAAACGUUGCUCGGAAUCAUUGGGCGUAAAGCGCACGUAGGCGGUCUGUUAUGUCGGAUGUGAAAGCCCUUGGCUCAACUGAGGAAGUGCAUCCGAAACUGGCAGGCUAGAGUACGAAAGAGGAUCGCGGAAUUCCCGGUGUAGAGGUGAAAUUCGUAGAUAUCGGGGAGGAACACCGGUGGCGAAGGCGGCUACCUGGACAGAAACUGACGCUGAGGCGCGAAAGCUAGGGGAGCAAACAGG